AUGCGCAAUCCUACAAUAAGUGUUGGCGAGAGAUGUUAUGAAGAGGGUAUGUUUGAAGCCGCCCGGCUGCUGUUUAAUAACGUGUCUAAUUUCGCUCGUCUGGCGUCCACACUCGUUCACCUCGGCGAGUUUCAGGCGGCCGUUGACAGCGCACGAAAGGCCAGCUGCACACGCACAUGGAAAGAGGUGUGUUUUGCGUGUGUGGACGGAGAGGAGUUCAGGUUAGCGCAGAUCUCCGGCCUUCACAUCGUCACUCAUGCUGAUGAACUGGAGGAGCUCAUUAACUACUAUCAGGACCGUGGGUAUUUCGAGGAGCUGAUGGUGCUGCUGGAGGCGGCGUUGGGGCUGGAGCGCGCUCACAUGGGCAUGUUCACCGAGCUGGCCAUCCUCUACUCCAAAUACAAACCCCAGAGGAUGAGGGAACAUCUGGAGCUCUUCUGGUCUCGGGUCAACAUCCCUAAGGUGUUACGAGCGGCUGAGCAGGCCCAUCUGUGGGCGGAGCUUGUGUUCCUGUAUGAUAAAUAUGAGGAGUAUGACAACGCCAUCCUGACGAUGAUAACGCACCCCACCGACGCCUGGAGAGACGCUUCCUUCAAAGAGCUCAUCAGCAAGGUGGCAAAUGUGGAGCUGUAUUAUAAAUCCCUGCAGUUUUAUUUGGACUAUAAGCCGCUGCUGCUCAACGAUCUGCUGUCUGUUCUCGCUCCUCGACUGGAUCACAGCAGAGCCGUCAGCUACUUCAGCAGGGUGAAUCAGUUGCAUCUGGUUAAACCGUAUCUCAGAUCAGUGCAGAGCCACAAUAACAGAGACGUGAAUGACGCGCUCAACAACCUGCUGACUGAGGAAGAGGACUAUCAGGGUCUGCGUGCCUCCAUCGAUGCAUACGAUAACUUGGACUCGAUCGGUUUGGCUCAGAGGCUCGAGACACACGAGCUCAUCGAGUUCAGACGCAUCGCUGCGUAUCUCUACAAGAGCAACCAGCGCUGGGCUCAGAGCAUCCAGCUCUGCAAGAAAGACAAACUCUACAAGGAUGCGAUGCAGUUCUCCGCUGAGUCUCAGGACGGAGCUCAGGCUCAGGAUCUCCUGCGCUGGUUUGUUGAGGAGGGGAAGUGCGAGUGUUUCGCCGCGUGUCUCUUCAGCUCCUAUGAUCUUCUGGCUCCUGACCUGGUCUUAGAGCUGGCCUGGAGACACGGCCUCGUGGACUUCGCCAUGCCGUACUUCAUUCAGGUGACGAGGGAGUACCUGAGCAAGGUGCGUACGAAAGCAUCUCAAGCAUGUGCUGCUCAUCAUAAAGCGCUCAUACUCUUUAAAUGA
rnacentral:lncRNA from 1 species